CCAGUUUUUAAGUUGGUCCAAAUCUUGGUCCAAAAUUAAACUUUGUUUGAUUUCAACAAAAAUUGAAUAUAUGGGAUUCUUUGAUAUAUGCUGAAUCUAACCAUGUACAAUGUAUUUAGAUAUUUUGAUAUUUGGGCCCGGUUAUGAAAUUGGUCCACAUUGAGGUCUAAAGGGUCCAAAUUGAACUUUAUUUGAUUUCAUCAAAAAUUGAAUUCUUGGG
rnacentral:lncRNA from 1 species